GGGGACAUAGCUCAGCGGUAGAGCGCUCGCUUCGCAUGUGAGAGGUCUCGGGUUCAAUUCCCGGUGUUUCCA